rnacentral:rRNA from 1 species
CAGUAGCCACGGUAAUACGUAGGUGGCAAGCGUUGUCCGGAAUUAUCGGGCGUAAAGCGCGCGCAGGCGGAUAGGUCAGUCUGUCUUAAAAGUUCGGGGCUUAACCCCGUGAUGGGAUGGGAACUGCCAAUCUAGAGUAUCGGAGAGGAAAGUGGAAUUCCUAGUGUAGCGGUGAAAUGCGUAGAUAUUAGGAAGAACACCAGUGGCGAAGGCGACUUUCUGGACGAAAACUGACGCUGAGGCGCGAAAGCCAGGGGAGCGAACGGGAUUAGAUACCCCUGUAGUCCCUGUCUCUUAUACA